rnacentral:lncRNA from 1 species
GAAAAGAGAGGAGACUGUUCCGGUGCUCUUUUUCAGGGGAGGAGUAGCAAGCACUGAGGACAUACAUGGAAAGACAGAGGGGUUUUGAAAUACUAGGCUCACUGGCCCAUUGGAUCCUCCUGACUUAAAUCUUGGGUAACUAGGAGUAUUGGGGUAUUUGAAAAUCAAUGAAGAUCCAGGCAUACAAUUCUGUGGAGGAAAAGCAUGUGUUUUGCAAGCCUGAGGACCUGAAUUCAAUCUCCUGAUUCCAGUUUGGAAGAGAACCAAUUCCUAGAAUUUGUCCUCUGACCUUCCUCUUCAUUCUUUAACAUGCCCAUACCGGUACAUACAUAUUAAUAAAAUAAAAGUAUAAAGGAAUAAAAAGCAAUAAAUAUUAACACUUUAUUCAGC